AGCGAACGCUGGCGGCAUGCCUAACACAUGCAAGUCGCACGGGUCGGCUCCGGCCGGUCGGUGGCGGACGGGUGAGGAACGCGUAGGGAUCUGUCCUCUGGUGGGGGAUAACCGCGGGAAACUGCGGCUAAGACCGCAUGGGGCGCCGGUGUGAGAGCCGGCGUCAAAGGCGCGCAUCGCGAGGUGCGUGUGGCCGGGGGGUGGGCGUGCGUCCGAUUCGCGGGUUGGCGGGGUAGUGGCCCGGCAAGGCGUCGAUCGGUAGCUGGUCUGAGAGGGGGAUCAGCCGGACUGGGACUGAGACACAGCCCAGACUCGUACGGGAGGGAGCGGUGGGGAAUAUUGGGCAAUGGGGGCAAGCCUGAUCCAGCAAUGCGGGGUGGGUGGGGAAGGUCGUCGGAUUGUAAAGCCCUUUCGGCGGGGGCGAGGGUGACGGUACCCGGAGAAGAAGCCCCGGCUAACUUCGUG
rnacentral:rRNA from 1 species